AACGAACGCUGGCGGCAUGCCUAACACAUGCAAGUCGAACGAGACCUUCGGGUCUAGUGGCGCACGGGUGCGUCACGCGUGGGAACCUGCCCUUAGGUUCGGAAUAACUCCCCGAAAGGGGUGCUAAUACCGGAUAAUGUCUUCGGACCAAAGAUUUAUCGCCUUUGGAUGUUCCCGCGUUGGAUUAGCUAGUUGGUAGGGUAAAAGCCUACCAAGGCGACGAUCCAUAGCUGGUCUGAGAGGAUGAUCAGCCACACUGGGACUGAGACACGGCCCAGACUCCUACGGGAGGCAGCAGUGGGGAAUAUAGGAAAAUGGGCGAAAGGCUGAUCCAGCAAGGCCGCGUGAGUGAUGAAGGCCUUAGGGUUGUAAAGCUCUUUUAACCGGGAUGAUAAUGACAGUACCGGGAGAAUAAGCUCCGGCUAACUCCGUG
rnacentral:rRNA from 1 species